GAUGAACGCUGGCGGCGUGCCUAAUACAUGCAAGUCGAGCGGUAAGGCUCCUUCGGGAGUACACGAGCGGCGGACGGGUGAGUAAUACGUAGGAACGUACCCCAAGUGAGGAAUAACCAGCCGAAAGGUUGGCUAAUACCGCAUAUGCUCUACGGAGUAAAGCAGCAAUGCGCUUUGGGAACGGCCUGCGUCCGAUUAGCUAGUUGGUAAGGUAAAGGCUUACCAAGGCGACGAUCGGUAGCUGUUCCGAGAGGAUGAUCAGCCACACUGGAACUGAGACACGGUCCAGACUCCUACGGGAGGCAGCAGUAGGGAAUUUUCCACAAUGGGCGAAAGCCUGAUGGAGCAACGCCGCGUGCAGGAUGAAGGCCUUAGGGUUGUAAACUGCUUUUAUCUGUGACGAUUAUGACAGUAGCAGAUGAAUAAGGAUCGGCUAACUCCGUGCCAGCAGCCGCGGUAA
rnacentral:rRNA from 1 species